GCCGGAGUGGCGGAACGGUAGACGCAGCGGACUCAAAAUCCGCCGCCCUUAAAAGCGUGUGGGUUCGAGUCCCACCUCCGGCACCA
rnacentral:tRNA from 1 species